rnacentral:rRNA from 1 species
GUCCUAGCUGUAAACGGUGCAUAUUUGCUGUAAAAGGAAUCGACCCCUUUUGUGGCGUAGCCAACGCGAUAAAUAUGCCGCCUGGGAAGUACGGUCGCAAGAUUAAAACUCAAAGAAAUUGACGGGGGCCUGCACAAGCGGUGGAGUAUGUGGCUUAAUUCGAUGCAACGCGAAGAACCUUACCUGGCCUUGACAUGCACAUAGUAGAAGGGUGAAAGCCUGACGAGGUAGCAAUACCAGUGUGCACAGGUGCUGCAUGGCUGUCGU